rnacentral:piRNA from 1 species
UCCACACCCUAAAGAAACCUCACGAGUGCG